rnacentral:rRNA from 1 species
GGUUACUGCUAUCGGUGUUCGCCUAAGCCAUGCGAGUCAUAUGUUCGUAAGAACAUGGCGUACUGCUCAGUAACACGUGGAUAACCUGCCCUUGGGUCCGGCAUAACCCCGGGAAACUGGGGAUAAUUCCGGAUAACGCACAUAUGCUGGAAUGCUUUAUGCGUAAAAUGGAUUCGUCUGCCCAAGGAUGGGUCUGCGGCCUAUCAGGUAGUAGUGGGUGUAAUGUACCUACUAGCCUACGACGGGUACGGGUUGUGAGAGCAAGAGCCCGGAGAUGGAUUCUGAGACAUGAAUCCAGGCCCUACGGGGCGCAGCAGGCGCGAAAACUUUACAAUGCGGGAAACCGUGAUAAGGGGACACCGAGUGCCAGCAUCCUAUGCUGGCUGUCCGGGUGUGUAAAAUACACCUGUUAGCAAGGGCCGGGCAAGACCGGUGCCAGCCGCCGCGGUAACACCGGCGGCCCGAGUGGUGAUCGUGAUUAUUGGGUCUAAAGGGUCCGUAGCCGGUUUGGUCAGUCCUCCGGGAAAUCUGACAGCUUAACUGUUAGGCUUUCGGAGGAUACUGCCAGACUUGGAACCGGGAGAGGUAAGAGGUACUACAGGGGUAGGAGUGAAAUCUUGUAAUCCCUGUGGGACCACCUGUGGCGAAGGCGUCUUACCAGAACGGGUUCGACGGUGAGGGACGAAAGCUGGGGGCACGAACCGGAUUAGAUACCCGGGUAGUCCCAGCCGUAAACGAUGCUCGCUAGGUGUCAGGCAUGGCGCGACCGUGUCUGGUGCCGCAGGGAAGCCGUGAAGCGAGCCACCUGGGAAGUACGGCCGCAAGGCUGAAACUUUA